GAUGAACGCUGGCGGCGUGCCUAAUACAUGCAAGUCGAGCGGUAAGGCCCUUCGGGGUACACGAGCGGCGGACGGCUGAGUAAUACGUAGGAACGUACCCCAAACUGAGGGAUAAGCACCAGAAAUGGUGUCUAAUACCGCAUGUGGCCCACGGGCUAAAGCUCCGGCGGUUUGGGAACGGCCUGCGUCCGAUUAGCUAGUUGGCGAGGUAAAAGCUCACCAAGGCGACGAUCGGUAGCUGGUCUGAGAGGAUGAUCAGCCAGACUGGGACUGAGACACGGCCCAGACUCCUACGGGAGGCAGCAGUAGGGAAUUUUCCACAAUGGGGGCAACCCUGAUGGAGCAACGCCGCGUGCCGGAUGAAGGCCUUCGGGUUGUAAACUGCUUUUAUCUGUGACGAUUAUGACGGUAGCAGAUGAAUAAGGACCUGCUAACUACGUGCCAGCCGCCGCCGUAAAAC
rnacentral:rRNA from 1 species